rnacentral:rRNA from 1 species
UACGGAGGGUGCAAGCGUUAUCCGGAUUCACUGGGUUUAAAGGGUGCGUAGGCGGGCAUUUAAGUCAGUGGUGAAAUACCUGAGCUUAACUUGGGAACUGCCAUUGAUACUAUUUGUCUUGAAUGUCGUGGAGGUUAGCGGAAUAUGUCAUGUAGCGGUGAAAUGCUUAGAUAUGUCAUAGAACACCGAUUGCGAAGGCAGCUCGCUACACGAAUAUUGACUCUGAGGCACGAAAGCGUGGGGAUCAAACAGG